rnacentral:rRNA from 1 species
GAUGAACGCUGGCGGCGUGCCUAACACAUGCAAGUCGAGCGAACAGAUGCGGCGCUUGCUCCUCUGACGUUAGCCGCGGACGGGUGAGUCACACGUGGAUACCCUACCUAUAUGACUGGGAUCACUUCGGGAAACCGGAGCUAAUACCGGAUAAUCUCUUGCACCGCAUGGUUCAAUAGUGAAAGUCGGUUUUGCUGUCACUUCUCGAUGGUUACGAGCCGCAUUAGCUGGUUGGUACGGUAAAGGCUUAUCACGGCAACCAUGCGUAGGCGACCUGAGAGGGUGAUCGGCGGCACGGGAACUGGGACACGGUCCAGGCUCCUACGGGAGGCAGCAGUAUGGAAUGUGCCGCAGUGGGCGAAAGCCUUGCGGAGCAACGCGACGUGAGUUAUGGAGGUCUUCGGAGCGUAAAACUCUGUUAUGGGUGAAGAACAAAUGUGGAAUGAACUAUGCACGUCGUGACGGUACCUAAUCAGAAAGCCACGGCUAACUACGUG